rnacentral:rRNA from 1 species
CCCUUAGAUGUCCUGGGCUGCACGCGCGCUACACUGGAAGUUACGGAUUGAGAUACUACCUUGUCCGAAAUGGUCCGGGUAAUCACCUAAAAGCUUGUCAUAAUUGGAAUGGAUUAUUGUAACUAGUAAUCCUGAACGAGGAAUUCCUAGUAAGCCCCAGUCAACAGCUGGUACUGAUUACGUCCCUGCCCUUUGUACACACCGCCCGUCGCUACUACUGAUUGGACGUUUAGCAAGAUUUUUAAACACUGACAGUGUGUAGUUCACGCUAUACUACAGUGAGAAGAAGAAGAUCGAGCUUACUUGUCUAGAGGAAGUAAAAGUCGUAACA